CUACUGCAUUGUUUCUGCACGAAGUCCUGAAUCUACAGGCUCAAAGCAGCCUCCCAGCACUGCCAGCUCACCUCCUCGGCCAGCUCACUUGCAGAGCCUGCGCUAAGCUGGGCAUCUAAAAACCAUUACUCAGGCCUCCAAAAGUUAUGAAACUGUCCUGAAAAGAAUUUCCAGUGAGCAUGUCCUUGCAAGCAAUUCAGUGGAAAACUGGAAGUCAAUAAAGCCCUUACAGUUUUACAGCACUCAGUUAUCCACCUGGCUGAGGAACACUAUGUAUUAUGAAAGAUUUGGCACGGAAGAGGAAUUACACAUGAAAGCUUUGGCUUUGGUAUCAUUCAGACCCUGCCACUCCCUGUUUGCUCUUGAAUGACCAAAAAAGAGAAGGUGACUCAGGCCCUGGGUGGUGGGUAUUUCUGUCUAUCAAAAAUAUCAUCUUAGUCUAUAUAAAGUGUGGCCCAUAAAUGCAUAUACAAAGGAGAAAGAAGGAGGAGGACACAAAGAAGUUGUUAAAUUAUCAGAAUAUCCUGCAUUCAUGUAACCCCAUCUGGAAAACCACAUCUGGUUCUGUUCUCCACAACUCAAGAAGUGGGCAGACCGAAGAAAAUUCUGAAAAGAACUAUGAGAAUGAUUAAAGACCUAAAUAAUAUGCUUCACAGUGGAAGAACUCAGUCCUUCUAGCCUAGCAGAGGGAGAUGAUGAAUGUUUGUAGUCUCUAUUGCUAAGAAGUAUGAAUGCACACUCACAGACAAAGCUAUAAUGAGAUCCAGUGGUUAAGAGCUGAAUCUAGACAAAUUCAAGCUAUAAAACAAGACACACAUUUUUAACAGUAAGGGUAAUUAACCAACACAGCAACCCAGUGAGGUGCUAGGGCAAAUUCUCCUUCUUUGGAAUUUUUUAAAUCAAAAUCAGAUGCUUUUUAUUUUACUUUAUUUUAUUUUUUUAAAAAAGACUUUCUAUUUCAAGCAGGAAGAAGCCUGAUGCUGUGUGUCAAACAGGAAGGAGGGCUAGAGCAUCACAGUAGCCCAUCUGGCAUUACGAACCACAAUUUGGAAUUAUUCCUUUGUAAUGAACAAUAUUCUCUGGGAAGAAGUGGAAGGAAGAUUUGCCAUUGGAAUUAGAAGUUAUGUUGCUGGAAGACUGACAGUGAAAAGGUGAAGCAAAGCACUAUUUAUAGGCAGAGACGCUAUCUUUCAUUCAAUCCACUGAUACAGUUUGAUCAACUUUCACUAGCUUGCCUGGAGUUUCUUCCAGCUACAUGCAUUCACCUAAUAAAAUAUUUUAUCUCCUGACAAACCCAGCUUCACUUAUCAUGGAAAAUGAUUGAAGGUCUAGUCACAAGAUUGUCAGUAUGAAAUUCAAAGGGAGAGAGAAGCAGAUUUACAGUGAAGAUGAGAAGCAGCUGUAAGACAUGGAAAGGAAAAAUGGAUGAAUCUGUGUUUAUGUGAAGAAUCCAGUGGCAUAUUUAUAUACCUACUGAUUAGGUACACAGUCAAAAGCCAGAAAUUCUUGGUUUCUACAUUGCAAAGGUGCUGAGCUCCUGAGCAUGCAUGGAAUUUGGCACAAAAUGUAGAAAAGUGAUAAUGGCUCAUUUGCUUCAUCUUCCUUUCAAUCAGGGAUAUCCAUUUCAUUUAUAUAUAUAUAUAAAAAAAAAAAAAAAAAAAGGCAAAAAAAAAAAAGCUCUAACCUCUGAAGACCUUGUGCCCCUUUUCUUUCCCUCAUAUGCAUUUUACAGCAUCACAGGGGGCCUGGCAUAUCAGCUGGAACAUCUGCUCCCCCUCUCGGUCAAGGAAUUGAAAUCCUACGUAUCCUCAGACGCAGUGGUUUCAAACCAUCUGGGCAUGACAAAGUGUUAGCUGCGUGCACAACAACGGGAUAAAUAAUUUACAGAAAGACAAGUACAGAUGGCUACAUAUAACAUAAAGCACAUCCUAUUUUUUCGAGGCAAUCCUUUCCCAUACCUGCAUUAUAUUGUGCAAAACUCCCAACUCUUCAGAACCAAGAUAUCACAUCUUAAAAUUACUGCAGUUGUAAACCAUCAGUAACAAGCUUGAUUUUGCAGGAAUGUUCAGUUGCAGGACCAGGAUACCUUGAGCUGCCUUCCGGCCCCUAAAGAGACCUGAGAUGGAGCAGGAAAACUGAGUGUUGAGCAUCCAGAGUGCUGUAAGCUUGUUUCUGAUGCCAGUAAUCCUUCAAGUCCCUCAUAGAAACAGUUUUACUGUGCCAGACAGUCAAGUGAGCAUGAAAACCCAAUCGACUGACAGACAGUGAAGAUUAUGUACCAAGAGGAUUAUAAUGAAAUACCUAGUUAUUAAGUGCACUGCAGCAUUCUGAAUCACUUACAUUUAUUAUAUAAAAUACAUGCUCCUUAUGUGGAGAGCCCGACUGCUAAAAUACAGUAAUAUGGGAUAGAAAAUAAGACAGCUGAAGAGAAAUAGGUCUUCAUCUUGAAACAGAGUAAGCAGUUUUAUGUGGAUCAAAGAUGUGCACAAAUAUAUUAAAGGCAUAAUAUUCAAAAUGAGUCCACUGUUGCCAAAGUUUAUUUCUAGAAGCUACCCUACUGAUAGAGACGGAUGAUAUACAUAUAAAUGUUUAUACAUAUAUAUAAGGAUCAGUACUUGAGGGAGUUAAAGGUUUGGGCUCUCAAUAGCCAACCCGUUAAGCAAUAAGGAGGGAUAUAAACAAGUCAUCCUCUGACUAGAGCAAAGCCUGAUUUCACAAAAAAUACUCAAAAUAAACAAAAAUGCGUACAAAAAGCAUAAUGACAUGAGCUUCAGAUUCUUGGAAUUCUAAAUAAAAUGCUAGCAAAUGUCAUGCUCAUUCAAAGCUUAACGCACACAUCUUCACCAUACAUGCAAAAAGUAUCUCAUUUCCAGUUGGUU